CCCCGGGUGGUCGGGACGAUUAUUGGGCCUAAAGCAUCCGUAGCCGGCCUUACAAGUCCUCCGUUAAAUCCAGCUGCUUAACAGAUGGGCUGCGGAGGAUACUAUAAGACUAGGAGGCAGGAGAGGCAAGCGGUACUCAGUGGGUAGGGGUAAAAUCCGUUGAUCCAUUGAAGACCACCAGUGGCGAAGGCGGCUUGCCAGAAUGCGCUCGACGGUGAGGGAUGAAAGCUGGGGGAGCAAACCGG
rnacentral:rRNA from 1 species